rnacentral:lncRNA from 1 species
ACACUUUAUUGCCGGAAUCAGAUUGGCCACAUUGAACUGAUUUUGUUGUCUGUUUGAGUUAGUUGAUGUAGAACCAGCUGAAGAUUUCACUUCAUUAAGUGAAGAACAUGGAGUUCAAAAUCCUUGUAUGUAGGUUCUGAAAGCGUCUGUUGAUAGGUGAUCGACUGUACACAGGUUUGACAUCGAUCUUAAUGUUCCGCUUGUAUCUGAAAACCUUAACCUGGGUCCCUGUUUACAAAUAAACCUGAUAAUGAUUGAGA